UACGUAGGGUGCAAGCGUUGUCCGGAAUUAUUGGGCGUAAAGAGCUCGUAGGCGGCUUGUCACGUCGGCUGUGAAAACUCGGGGCUCAACCCCGAGCCUGCAGUCGAUACGGGCAGACUAGAGUGCUGUAGGGGAGACUGGAAUUCCUGGUGUAAGCGGUGAAAUGCGCAGAUAUCAGGAGGAACACCGGUGGCGAAGGCGGGUCUCUGGGCCACUACUGACGCUGAGAAGCGAAAGCAUGGGGAGCGAACAGG
rnacentral:rRNA from 1 species